rnacentral:lncRNA from 1 species
UCUGAAGUGGCCCUCAGCCCCUUUCUGCUUGUCUCCAGGCUGCCCACCUCUCUGCUAAUCCUUGCUUCAUACUUCUGUCUUUCAGGAAGUUGUCCAAGCUGCAAGAAGAGUUCACCAUUUGCUUUCCUGGGUCCAAGAUGAAGCUCUGUUAUACCUGAAAGUGUGGGGGUCUCUGGGGAGAGGGGUCUGUAUCUUUUCCUCCUGAAUUUACUCCUGCUCCUACAACUGCCAGGGCUGGGCUCUCACAAUGGGGUAGGGUUGUUUUUGGAGACACAUACCCAGAAAGACUGCUGGGGACUUCAGGAGGUCCCUCUGCCUGGCCCUUCCUCCCUCCAGAAAGCCAGGAGCAUGCGUACUUUCUGACACGCAAUCACUCCCAAGGCAGUAAGGAUCCCUCUCCAUCCCCAGCCCCUCAUCACCAAUGAACUAAGGCUGUUGGCCAGGACUCGGGACAGGAACACCAAGACAGGGUGGAGCAUGGCCUUGCCACCCUGAAACUCCACAUUCCUGUGGGAGCCUGGGGCCCCUCUCUCUUUCCCUCCAAGCCCUUAAAAAAAAAAAAAAAAAAAGCCCUAGAGCUGGGGUUGUAGCUCAGUGGUAGAGCACUUGCCUAGCAUGUGGGAGGUACUGGGUUCGAAUUUCCACACUGCAUAUAAGUAAAUAAAAUAAAAGUCAUUGACAACUAAGAAAAACUAAACCAAAAAUGUUAAAAAAAAAAAGCUCUAGCUU